AUUGAACGCUGGCGGCAGGCCUAACACAUGCAAGUCGAGCGAGCGGCGGACGGGUGAGUAAUGUCUGGGAACCUGCCGGAUGGAGGGGGAUAACUACUGGAAACGGUAGCUAAUACCGCAUACCAUCAGAUGUGCCCCGAUGGGAGUAGCUAGUAGGUGGGGUAACGCCUCACCUAGGCGACGAUCCCUAGCUGGUCUGAGAGGAUGACCAGCCACACGGGAACUGAGACACGGCCCAGACUCUGACGGGAGGCAGCAGUGGGGAUUAUUGCACAAUGGGCGCAAGCCUGAUGCAGCCAUGCCGCGUGUGUGAAGAAGGCCUUCGGGUUGUAAAGCACGUUCAGCGGGGAGGCGUUACCCGCAGAAGAAGCACCGGCUAACUCCGUGCCAGCCGCCGCGGUAAUAC
rnacentral:rRNA from 1 species